rnacentral:rRNA from 1 species
GAAUUUAAUAUAAUUUUAUUAAAUUAAUUUAUUAAAUAUAUAAUAAGAGAAUAUUUAUUUGGGAGGAUUGUUAAAUAUAAAUAACUUUAAUUAAAUAAACAUAUAAAUUAAUAAAUUAAGAAAGAAUUAAUUACCUUGGGGAUAACAGCGUAAUAUUUUUAGAGAGUUCAUAUUAAUAAAAAUGAUUGC